AAACAAAAGACCCAGAAGAUCGAUUGCACUGGCUACAUUCCACACAUAGUGUGGAACUGGAUAUGUGAUGCUGCAGGUAUGUGUCAAUAUAUA